rnacentral:rRNA from 1 species
AUUGAACGCUGGCGGCAUGCCUAACACAUGCAAGUCGAGCGAGCGGCGGACGGGUGAGUAAUGUCUGGGAAACUGCCUGUUGGAGGGGGAUAACUACUGGAAACGGUAGCUAAUACCGCACACCAUCAGAUGUGCCCAGAUGGGAUUAGCUAGUAGGUGGGGUAACGGCUCACCUAGGCGACGAUCCCUAGCUGGUCUGAGAGGUUGACCAGCCACACUGGAACUGAGACACGGGCCAGACUCCUACGGGAGGCAGCAGUGGGGAAUAUUGCACAAUGGGCGCAAGCCUGAUGCAGCAAUGCCGCGUGUGUGAAGAAGGCCUUCGGGUUGUAAAGCACUUUCAGCGGGGAGGCGUUACCCGCAGAAGAAGCACCGGCUAACUCCGUGCCAGCAGCCGCGGUAAUUC